rnacentral:rRNA from 1 species
GAUCUGCCCUGCACUCUGGGAUAAGCUUGGGAAACUGGGUCUAAUACCGGAUAUGACCACAGCAUGCAUGUGUUGUGGUGGAAAGAUUUAUCGGUGCAGGAUGGGCCCGCGGCCUAUCAGCUUGUUGGUGGGGUAAUGGCCUACCAAGGCGACGACGGGUAGCCGACCUGAGAGGGUGACCGGCCACACUGGGACUGAGACACGGCCCAGACUCCUACGGGAGGCAGCAGUGGGGAAUAUUGCACAAUGGGCGGAAGCCUGAUGCAGCGACGCCGCGUGAGGGAUGAAGGCCUUCGGGUUGUAAACCUCUUUCAGCAGGGACGAAGCGUGAGUGACGGUACCUGCAGAAGAAGCACCGGCUAACUACGUGCCAGCAGCCGCGGUAAUACGUAGGGUGCGAGCGUUGUCCGGAAUUACUGGGCGUAAAGAGUUCGUAGGCGGUUUGUCGCGUCGUUUGUGAAAACCCGGGGCUCAACUUCGGGCUUGCAGGCGAUACGGGCAGACUUGAGUGUUUCAGGGGAGACUGGAAUUCCUGGUGUAGCGGUGAAAUGCGCAGAUAUCAGGAGGAACACCGGUGGCGAAGGCGGGUCUCUGGGAAACAACUGACGCUGAGGAACGAAAGCGUGGGUAGCAAACAGGAUUAGAUACCCUGGUAGUCCA